rfam:Ornithorhynchus anatinus chromosome 7, whole genome shotgun sequence.
GCCCUCUCAGAGUCGCACCUGGAGAGUUUCCAGUACUCUACCAGUCUUGACUACGGGAGGAAGAUCCAAGCAGAGGCAUACUCAUUCCAUUCCUAGCUUGGCCAGUGGCUAGCGACUGGAGGGCAAUCGGCUACAAAA